UACAGCAGGGAGGAAAGGAUCUUUGCUGAUGUUGAACAUCAACAGGCUGGCAAAGUCCAAAAUCUGCAGGGUCAGCAGGCAGGCUGGAGACCAACGGAAGAGGUGCAGCUGAGUCCACUCACAGGAUUCCCUCUUCUCUGGGCAGGUAACCAUUUUCCUAUUAAGGCCUUCAACUGACUGAGUGAGGCCCACCUACCUUUUCAAAGGUCAUCUGCUUUACUCAAAGUCUGUUGAUUUAAAUGUUAAUCACAUGUAAAAAAUACCUUCACAGAAAUAUCUAAAAUAAUGUUUGGUCAAAUAUCUGGGUAUUGUGGCCUAGCCACAUUGACACAUAAAAUUACCCAUCACAGACGGGUAAUCCAGGCCUGAGCGGAUUCGCACAUGACAUCUCCCUGGACACAGGGAUGGGUUCACAAAGGGGUUGGAGUCACUGAGAUGUGAGGAGAAGUCUGCUGGCAGCUUCUGGGACAUUACACCCUGAUGCUGAAGAGAUCGCUGCCGGAAGAGGCUGUCUUCCUGGGCAUGUUGUCAGGGGGUUGGAGUCACUGAGAUGUGAGGAGAAGUCUGCUGGCAGCUUCUGGGACAUUACACCCUGGUGCUGAAGAGAUCGCUGCCGGAAGAGGUUGUCUUCCUGGGCAUGUUGUCAGAAAUGGAAACCUAACAGAGACACUAUAAAGGCUACUAUUCCAAUUCUUCUGGAAUUAGUGCUGGGAGAACCCUGACAGAGCCCUCUCCUCUCCUGUCUUGGAUAGCCGGGGGCGGGCCGACCCAGCACGCAGGAGGCUUGCACCGCAAAGCCUUCUAGCUGAACCAGGCAGCAGAUCCAUUCCACGGGGCUUCCUCCCACGUGAGAAACGUAGGAAAAGAUGCUGCAAAUCAAAGACGACCACCCUGGAGAAGCAGGAGAAACUCCCCGACUUGAGUGAAUGUAUCAACAUUUCAGAAA
rnacentral:lncRNA from 1 species